UCUUUCUCCUCGGAGAUGGCAGCCAGCUCCAGCUCGGAGGACAGAUACAGCGACUCCAUUGCCGGGAUGUAGUCAUCGUCACAGAAGAAUGGCCUAGGAGGAAUUUGCAAACAAUCAACACCACCUUCAAGCAUCUCUAUCACCUCGCUCAUCAUCGGUCGGUCACAAGACCUCAUCUGGAUGCACCACAAUCCAACGAUGCAGAGCUUCUUCUCCAACUCAUGCAUGUCGGCGGCAGCGGUGAUCUCACCUGUUUCUUGUCGGGUCAGCUGACGGUACACUCGUGAUGGAUAGUAUGCCUGGCUUGAAUUCUCUGCAUUCGGAUCAGCAUUCCUUCUUCCUCCGGCCAUCUCCAAUAGUAGCAUCCCGAAGCUGUAAACGUCGGACUUGCUUGAUAUAACACCAAAGCUCCGAGAGAUCAUCUCAGGGGCAAUGUAACCUACUGUUCCUCGUGCAGCGCUCACCGGCACAAAGCUCUUGUCCCUUGGGUAUAGCCUUGCGAGACCAAAAUCUGCAACUUUUGGAACAAAGUUCUUGUCUAGAAGGAUGUUGUGUGGCUUGAUGUCAAAGUGUAGAAUCUGCAGAUCACACCCCUGAUGCAGGUAGUUGAUUCCUCUGGCUAUGCCCAACGCGAUUUCAUUUAGCUUAUCCCUGGAGAAACUCUUGUCGGAUGAGAAGAUGUACUUGUCAAGAGAACCCCGAGGCAUGUACUCGUAGACAAGCGCUCUUCUCAUUUCUUCAGAGCAGAACCCUACCAGGCGCACCACAUUGACAUGGUGGAUCCGGCCAAUGGUAGAGACCUCACUGAUGAACUCUUCUCCGUUGCAGUUGGAGUUGCCAUUUAGCAUCUUGACGGCAACAUGGAUAUUGCCCGGGAGCAAUACGCCUUUAUACACAGUCCCAUAGCUUCCUUGGCCUAGCCUGUCUCUGAAAUGGCUUGUGAUUGCAAUGAUGUCUGUGUAGCCAUACCUCAUUGGGCUGAGCAUCUCUUGCAUUCGGAGGAACUUCUCAACUGCAUCGAUUGUGAUCCUUGCUUUCCAGUAUUUGUGGGAAAGGAAGGUUAAUACAACAAGCGGCGCCAACAGGAACCUGCAUAGUACUACAUAAAAACAAGUUUGUAGGGUUGUUUAGGAUUGGUUUAACCUUUGAAUAUAAUAGGAUCCUGAAGUACCUGCAAUCCAAGUCAGAAUGGACAUGGCUGGUCCUGUUCCGUAAAUUGCAAACUCGUAUGCAACACGAGGCAAUUUAACUGGAGCCAUUAUGCACUGCCAGAAAGGCCCAUACGCUAAAAGGAUUGCUAGAAGUCGAUUUUUGAUGUAUAUAUCAGACGAUGGCACCAUUGUUUGACGAAAUAUGCUGCAGGACAAUGCCAUGGUGAAAACGGAAAUAAAAUUAAGAAGAAAUUCCAAUGGCAAACCCUUUCCUCAUGUAUUUCAGGACAUCAGCAUAGCUUAAGCUUGCAUUGAUAGACGCUCCCCUGUCAUCCAGAGGUGUCAUGCCCAGGUACCCACAAGAAGGCUCUAGGCUCUCAACAUAAACAGUUUCUGACUCCGAGCCAGUCAGCACGUAGACGAAGGAAUGGCUGGUGCUCAGGCAAGCGACGGGUUUGUACCUGACAUUCCUCGUUAUCUCCUUGGAACAAUUCACAAAUGCAGCCCACCUAUUUGUAAAAGGGGCCAGUUCAAUUACUUGGACUCCGUCACUGGUAGGGGCCAUGGAUAUGCGCUCGUGUGGAGGUUGAUGCUGCCGCCGCGGAAGAGGGCAGCUGCUGUUAUGUGAAUUCAGCAAGUCUGUGUCAACGACGACGAAAAGGCUCCAAUGGAUAAUGCGAGUCACGUAGUAUGUUGCAUUGUUGAUGCGAAUUGUGGCCUUGGUGUCGCUGCAAACCAGCUCGUGAGAUUUAUAGCCGCAAUCAGGUGGAUCGCCGUGCCGGCGGAACGGAGGGGAAACGUUCUUGAGAUGGCCCCAGGAGAAGGGAGGACA
rnacentral:sRNA from 1 species